AAGCAAGAAGAUGAGAAAAUGUUAAGACAAUAAAAAACAUUUGGCAAAUGCAAUUGGCAGUAGACUCAACAUACAUUCUCUUGAGGCAAAGCUUUAAUGAAGCAGCUCAAAAGUAGCAGAAUAUUGUUUGGAACACCAAUUUCCAGGUCACCUACCUUCUCCAAGACUUUCUGUUGCUAAGAUGAUGAUGUCUUUUGUUACUAUAAUUUAACAAAGUUUUCCAGUAUCAAAAAGUUUUAGCAAUUUGCCUUUCUGCAGUGCAGGAAAAAGAAAAGCUGUAGGAUGUGCAAUGUUUAUUCAAUUGCCUUGUUGUUUUAUUGCUCUUCUUUCUGGAAUAGUAUUUUGGGUUUGCAAAUGUAGAAAAACCUAUAUUUUCCUGGUAUAGACCUGUGAGGACAGGUCUACCAUAUAAGCCAAUAGACAGACAUAUCAAGCAAGCUGAUAGUUCAUCUUGCUGUAAUUAACCAGAUAUAGUUUAUGGAAGUGAUUUAAGCCUAAAAUUCACAAACAACCUCAUGAAAUUUUCAGAACCAAUGUUUGCUUUUGGGGUUAGCCUCAAAACCUUUAAGAGCUUCCACUUCACAGCCAAAUGCUAAAGCACAAUAGUCAUGGGAAUAAGGCAAGGGAGAUUAAAUGAUCAGUAAAUGAGGAAGAAACAACAGAGAAAAAUAGAGAAAGAGAAAGCAGUGAUGUAGCAAUAAGGAGAGGCUUACAUGCCUAGUUCACUUAUUAUGAGACAAUUCAUCUUCUACAAUAAUAAAAAAUGAUUGUAGCCUUCCAAGAAAAGUUGCUUCUUCAAAAUGAGUAGGUUCUAAGCAUGUUUGGUAAUUUAAUUUCAAAUAGAUGUGUUGGUAUAAUUUGGGGUUUUAAGGCACUAGCCCUCAAUAUUUAGAUCUUGGUCUCCAGAAAUAAAUUAUCGUGACAACUAACAUGAAGGCCAAUGUAUACUGGCCCCAAUUAUUGGAAUGGUAUGGAUGAAUGUGUAUUUUUAAACUCAAUUAUCCAGGUAACUUGCACAUAAAUAUACCAAACCAAAGACCACAGGGUGGGAUACUGCCUCAACUUCAUUUUAGUACAGAUUGUUUUCUCCUUUGAACCACUAAUCAACUUUACUAUGUGCAGUUUCUACAAUAUAAGGCUAUUUUCCUCAACAUCUUAGCAUCAUAGUAUCCUCUCAUCAGAAUAUUGGUUAGGUUCCCUAGUGUGAAUCACUUAUCCAGUUGCUUGCCUGAUUAUUCGCAUGUUUUUGAGAUUUGUGAAAUGUAGCAGAUAAACAGGUUUAUGCUGUGUGCAUCUUGGAGGGCAGCCAAUGUCUGUCUGCCUAUACAGUAUAUUUACUCUCCCUCCUCAAAUCUCUCUCCCAUACAGAGAAGCUGUAUUUUAAGACUAAAAUCAGUGUAGAAUGCAAUCCAGUAAUGUCACUGCAGAAAACAGCAGGUGCUCAUCCACUCAUUUGCAGUGAUUCUUGCAGUGAAGAAAGUGAAUCAAUGAUUCAUCUAAUGGACAAAGAAACGCCACAGUGAACAUUUGGAAAAACCAAAUGAGAGAAAGGAACAUUCUUUUAUAAAGAAGAUGAUGUCGUGUUAAUGAAAUGGCUAAUAAGCCAAAGACUGUGGUUCAGCUACACACAGAGUCUUGUUCAAAUCAGCCCAGGCUACAUAGACUGAAAACAUUUUCACCCCAUCUCAAAAAUGUAUUUUUAAAUUUAUUUUUACAACAUCUGUAACCUAAAAUUAAGAAGAUCCAAAAGAAAGUCUUUUCUGAAAAGUCACAUUUCACCUACUUUAUGUAUGGUUCAGCGGAGACCUUAAAAAUCUGUUUCUUUGAGAAAACAGAAAAAAAUGGACAAAGAAUAAGCAAUCCUUAUGCAUUAAAUGUUAUUUGUGAGGCAUUUUGAUUUUACUGAAAGAAGUCAUUAAAUUUGGAUUGCCAAUACAAAUAUGAUUAUAUAUGUUUUCUAAAUAAAAUGUUAUUAUGUUGUAACUGAACUCAUCCAUUUAUUGUUUGUUUACCUAGUGCUCAAAUGCAUGUUUUAUUCAUAGAUGUCUGGGAGAAAAAAAUUUGCUUGAUAAUCACACCAAGCAUAUUUAACAAAAGCGAUUCUCCUUUUAUUAGUGAACAGGUUUAAGCAGAAUGAUUUCAUUUUUUUCCCCAUUUAGUUAAUUCAGACUUGCAGGAUCCUUAGCUUACAGCUUUUGUUUCUCCUCCCGCUGCCUUUUAUGCCUUUAAUGUAUGCAUGCCUAUCCACUGAUGGGAAAAUAUCAUUUCCUGAAACUCUUCCUUUUUUCCUUCUUGACUACUCUCUCCGUUGAUCUCUAGCUUUGGUUAGUUUUCACUAGUUAGUUCUGUCAAAUCACUGUAUGUACAAGACAGAUAAAUUGAAGCCAAGCAAAUAGUUAAUUAUCCUGUUGAAAAAUUUAAACUCUCUUUCCUUAGAGUGAAUUGGAAUUCUAAUUUGCUCAUUCCUUUAACAAACAAAUAAUAUAUUUAUAUAUUUAAAGCAAUUAAAAAGUGUAUAGGACAGAAAGUCAUAAAGUGAAGAUUUAUUAAUAUCUAUGAAAUUUUUAUUACCAGAACAUUUUAACAAAAUAUUUGCAACUUUAACAAAUUAACAAUUGCCUUGUAUUGAAUUUAGCAACUUUAUUUCUGUCUAUUAAAAAGCAACAUUAAAUGUAAACACUCUCUUAAAUGAACUCAACCAGCUUACAAUAGAUUAUUUUCACCUUAAUACAACAUGCAGCUAAAAGCAAUUAAUAAACUGUAAAAUUUAAAUGCAUGUCUCAAGAUAUAAAAGUGAAUAUUCAUGAAUCAGAUGCAAGGGGUUUAUAAUUAAUUGCUAAAUUAUUAAAAGAACAUUUUAUAACAGCUAGAAAUCUGAAUUAUUUGAAUUAUUUAAUAGCUUGGUCAUUUAUCAAACAAAAUAAUAAUAGCAACAAUAAUACAUAAUUGCCAAAUGAGUUAAUUAAUGUUGUUUGACUCUAAGAUUUUGUCUUGUCUUGUUUUAACUGCGUACCAUCCUGCUUAAAAAUGUUUCCUUAAGCUGGAUACACUCCGAAGUUACAUAAUUUUUCUUAAUCUGGAAGUUAAGAAAAUCACAGAAGAAUAGUAAAACAAUGUGCCUGCUCAACAUGUUACCCAAAGUGAAUUCCAGAAGUUGUUCAUAAUUGCUUUUAUUAUUUUUAAAAGAUGUCCUUUAUUAAAAAUUAGCCUCAUCUUAGUUUUAAAGUUCGUUCAAUGUUAGUUUUUUCCCCCUGGUUUUGUAAUCUAGAUAAUUUUAACAACUAAAAGCUUAGUUAGCCUACUCUCUGUUAAGCAAACUUCUUUAUAGAUUUUCUUUAAGCUUUUCAUUUUAAAAGGUGCCUUUGUCCUGAAACUAAACAUAUGACACUCCUGUCCCCUAAGAAAAUUUUUGAGAAAUUGAAUAACAGCAAGUAAAUCCGAUAGAGAAUUUUUAUCCCAUUCCUGCUGUUUACUUAUUUUAAAAUAAUUGUUUAAAGAUGAAGAAUGUGUCUUUUUUCUUAAGUCUUUAAAAAGAAUGAGAAUUGUGUCUAAUAAACCACUACUGAAGUUAGAAUAGCCACUGAAUUAUUAUCUGGCAGAAGAAUGUGAGUUCUAUUUUGCCUGAACCAAUUAUCUUUAUCAAAUGACUUUUCUACCUAAAUUGUUUGCUUAAGAUAUUAUAGAUAUGCAGAGUUAUUGUAAUAUGCAUUUUUAGGCCAUUAUUAUUUAAAUUCCUAUAAAUCAAACUAGAUGUAACAGAGCCAAUUUCAGGUUAUUUGUUGAAACUGCUUUUCUUUGGAGCAGUUAACAUUUGGAGCUAAUGCUUCAAUCCUAACAGGCAAAUAUAUCAAAUGUUUAAAAUAUAAACACAAAUAUUAUUGCCUUUAAUAGGCUAUUUAGUAAGAAAAAGAUUUACAUCCUAACAUGGGCUUUUUUCUGUGUUUGUAAGAUGAGUGCUCUAAAUAAAGUAUUUGUCAUCAAAGCUGUCUGUGUAAAUUAGUAGAAAGAGUAACUUUCCUAAAGAGAACCUAGCUAAGAGACACCUCUUGCAAUGGAAGUAGAUCAAAUCUGUUCAAAGAAAAGGUCAAAGAAAAUUUAUUGCUAGUGUGAAGACAGUUUCUUGAAACUAUUUUUUUUCUACAGAAACCGAGUAUUCAAGAAAGACAAUAUUUAGCAAUGGGCUUUUGAGGGUUGGGAGGAGAAAAACAUCUUGUGUGAUGUAAAGGGAGAAAACAUACAGACCACAACGAAAUAAACAAACAUUUUCUUUUGGCAAGAGAUGACUGCAGAGUUGAAAGAGUAAAUUACUUCCAUCAGCGAGUUGUACCUUAUAAAUUUAGGAGAAUGGAUCAUCAACUCAUUUGGAGGACAAUUCUCUUUUUAAUAGCAACAGUUUCACAGCUAGUUUUGUCUCUAAAAAGGAUACCUGCUAGACAUCCAUAAAUUAGCUUUUAAGAGGAAGCAAAACUUGAUGACAAACUAUUGUCAAGUUGUAUAUAUUUCUGAUUCAAGUUAAACAUAUUUUUAACAAACUGUCUUAUGAAUCUGUUUUGAAGCACUUCAGCGGCCCAGAGGGAGCUCUACCUUUAAUAUACAGACAAGGUAACAAAGACUGUCAAAAAAAGGAAAAAAAAAAAGUAAGAUGCAGGGAAGAAAAAAAAGGAAACAAAUGUCUAUAAGGAACAAAUUACAAACUUAACAAAAAUAUGACAAAAGCAAUAUAAUAUUUUCUCCUAGUAGAACAAUUAGUGAGUAUAAUAAAUGAAACUAAAGCAAAACUUUUCUGGGUUGAACCAGGCAUUGAAUGAAUUGUAGAAACAGAAUAGUGUUAAAUAUUGUAUAUUCGUUUAAAACAUUUAUGACGUAGGUGUUAAUGCAGUUAAUUUAGUUCAGUGUUCUGUUAAUAUGAAAACUGCUAUAAUGUAGUACUUCGUUAUUUAUAGUGUACUAAUUAAUCAUUCAUAAUAUAAUGGUUUACCCAGGAAAAGCUCAGUUAUCUUUCACAAGUACGACAGCCAUAUAUAAAACAUGUAAUAAUUCAAAUUCAUGCCCUUAAUAUUAUUCUUAAAAAUCAGUAUUCUUCUCAGGUUCAAAUACAGAUAAAAUUAAAACAAAACAAAAAAAGGUAACUAAGAUUGUCCCCCUUAAAGUGCAAGUAGAACAGCCUUUGGGGAUUUUCAAGAUCUUAUUUUCAUAACAGUAACUUGAAAAUAAUUAUUAGAAAGCACUGUUAAAAAGCAUCAUAUAUUUUUGAUGAGUCAAAUAUUUAUUUCCAGUCCUUUUUGCAUCAAGACUGUGGGAAAUGUGUAUUAUGAAGAUCAGAUGGUGCACUGAUGUGAGAAAUGUUGCAAAGCAUCCUGUUGAUUUGUUCUAAUUAACUGCAAUGCUCUUGUGUUCUCAGUUUUAGCCGGCAUACACCACACAAUGCCUUUUAUUUUGCUUUGAAUGGAUUUUUACUUAAAAACAGCUGAUCUCAGUAACCACAGUAUUUGGGGAUUUUUUAUUUUUGUGAAUUUCCCUGCAAUGUUUUCUUUUCAAUUUUAAAAGAAAAAUUUGAAAAUAUUUCUAAAUCAUAAAGUAUAACCAGUUAAAUUACCAGCAAUCAUGUGGUCUUCCACAUGUAUUUUGCAUGUUCUGUAGUAUGUGACUAUAUUCUCAAACUACAUUUCAAUUCCUCUUUAAAAGUUAUAUAUCUGAGCAGUGGUUUAAGCAGAAAAUUCUGAAAAGCAAUUUAGAACACACCGCUAAUUUUUUAUUUUUGUAAUCAGACUGUUAAGUAGAACAGAGCUAAAACCUGGGACCAUGAGCAAGGAAUGAGAAGGAUUCCAGAAUAAAAGUAUCAAAUAAAAUUCUUUGCACUCACCUUUCUCUGAUGAUUUAAACUCAAGCAGCUCUGACAGAGAGAAGUCAUGAAUUUUCAUCAACUUCACACAUGUCAUACAUUUAAAAACAUUUUGAUUUGCCCUGGGACCCCUGUAUGUCUCUGAAGCAUAGUAAUAGUGCUGGGAUGUUUUCUAGGUACAAACCCUAUAAACUCCCAGGGCUCUAGAAGAUACAUUACUAAUGUAAACAGGCCCUUAAGUGGAAAAAAAAUUAAAUAACAGGAAAUUUCCAAAGAAAUGCAGAAUUUAAAUGAAGGAGGCUAUUUUUAGAAGCAGCACCCUUUCUAUGAUUUUAAUGGUCACAAUUGUAUCCACACACUAGCUUUUGGAGAACAUGCAGUUAUUUGUCUCGAGAAAUAGAAUCAUUUUGGACAGGAAAAUCUAUAAUCUAAAAAUUAGAGCUAAAUCAUUCAUUAGCCUAGUAGACCUUAAAAGUGAUUAAAUAGUCUUCUUUUUGUUCGUGUAAGGAUAAAAUGUGACUCGUGAGCAGUCCAGCGUUUCAAAAUGGCUACCAACAUCCUUACUCUUUCCAGGAGAAAGGCUAACUGUAUAAAGUGGAGUAGAGUCAACAUAGAGUUUUACCCCACGUAACACCUCUAAAGGUUAUCUUCCAAAUAUUUGUCCCUCUUAAAAUUGUAAAAAAAAAAAAAAAAAAAAAAAAAAAAAAAA
rnacentral:lncRNA from 1 species